GGUGGAGCUGGAAAGGUGGAGGCGGAAGUGACUGAUCAAUUCAGGGGCGUGGGGUUCGUUUAGGUUUUGCCCUGUGUAUGACCUCGUUUGGAGCCAUGAAACCAGGUGGCUUUUCUACAAUAUAAAGAUGGAAAUGGGAAGAAGAUGUUCAUUGCAAAUUAAGGAAGCUCUUCCACGAGUUCACGAAUGGAAAUAACAUCAAGAGUUUUUCAUCUUCUUAGUGUGCAAGAACACAGCAUAGUAUGUGACAUAAAGGCUUGAUGACUGUGUUGAAUGAAUGUAUGUUGUUAUUUUAGGGCAAUGAUGGAAAGCACCAAGUGGAGUCUGGAGCUAGACUGAUCUGUGUUCAAUCCUGUCUUGGUUACUCAUUGGGGGGCCUCGACUUUCAUGUCUCUGUAAUGUCCCUGACAGUAUCUGCCUCACAGGGUUGCUGUGAGAGUCAAGCGAGAUGUCUGAGGAAUAGUCUUAGUGGAUUAUCCCAAACUUGACACAUUUUUUGCAAAAUGCUAUACAAAAAGAAGAUACAUGCGAUUAUGACAAGAUUCUCCACUUGGUGUGACCAGUCUCAUACAACCCAAGGCUGUGUGUCCAAAGGCAACUGUACUGAAUACCGGAAAGCAUGUAUUUGUUUGCUAAAUUGCUCUCUUUCCACCAGUGAUAUCAAUUCUGAAAUACUUUUGAGAUCUUGACAAUAAUCAAAAGGUAGCCAGGUGCAUCGGGGAAAGCACUGACAUUGGAGUCAGAC
rnacentral:lncRNA from 1 species